AAGCUCGUAGUUGAAUUUCGGGGUUAGUAGGUUGGUCAUGCCUCUGGUAUGUACUGGUCUCACUGAUUCCUCCUUCCUGAUGAACCGUAAUGCCAUUAAUUUGGUGUUGCGGGGAACUUGGACUGUUACUUUGAAAAAAUUAGGGUGUUUAAAGCAAGCUAACGCUUGAAUACAUUAGCAUGGAAUAAUGAAAUAGGACGUUCGAUCCUAUUUUGUUGGUUUCUAGGAUUGACGUAAUGAUUAAUAGGGAUAGUUGGG
rnacentral:rRNA from 1 species